GCCGUGGUUCAGGCUCCGUCUUUGCAGGAGUGGGUUUUGGGUUUGGCUGUGGUUGUGGCUUGAUUUCUGGGUCCGGCUUUGCUGGAGUUGGUUUUGGGUUUGGCUGGGGCUUUGGCUGUGGUUGUGGCUUGACUUCUGGGUCCGGCUUUGCUGGGUUUGUCCUAGGGUUAGGUUGCGGGUUGGGCUUUGGGUUCGUCCUGUCGGAAACACCGUCUAGUGAAUACACCGGCAAUGACCCUGACUGAGGUUUAGGCUUUGGCUUUUCCGGAUUUGGCUUUGGGUUCGGCUGGGGCAUUGGCUUUGGUUGUGGCUUGGCGUCUGGGUCCGGCUUUCUUGGGUUUGCCUUAGGGUUAGGGUGUGGGUCAGGCUUUGGGUUCGUCCUGUCGGAACCAAUGUCGUCUAGUGAAUACACCGGCAAUGAGCCUGGCUGAGGUUCAGCCUUUGGCUUUUCAGGAGUUGGCUUCGGGUCAGGCUGAGGCAUUGGUUUUGGUUGUGGCUUGGCAUCUGGGUCCGGUAUUGGGUUGGGUUCCGGCAUUGCAGGAGUCGUGGGCUUUGGGUUUGGGUUUGGGUUUGGGU
rnacentral:lncRNA from 1 species